CCAAUAGCGUAUAUUAAAGUUGUUGCAGUUAAAAAGCUCGUAGUUGAAUUUCGGGAUUGACGUGACGGUCGUGCCUUAAGGGGUAUGAACUGUCGCCGUUGAUUUCUCACCUUCUGGAGAAGCUCGAUGUCCUUAAUUGGAUGUCUUGUGGAACCAGGACCUUUACCUUGAAAAAAUUAGAGUGUUUAAAGCAGGCAUUUUGCUCGAAUACAUUAGCAUGGAAUAAUAGAAUAGGACGGCAUGGUUCUAUUUUGUUGGUUUCUAGGAUCACCGUAAUGAUUAAUAGGGAUAGUUGGGGGCAUUAGUAUUCAAUUGUCAGAGGUGAAAUUCUUGGAUUUAUUGAAGACUAACUACUGCGAAAGCAUUUGCCAAGGAUGUUUUCAUUAAUCAAGAACGAAAGUUAGGGGAUCGAAGACGAUCAGAUACCGUCGUAGUCUUAACCAUAAACUAUGCCGACUAGGAAUCAGACGAUGUUAAUUUUUUAAUGACUCGUUUGGCACCUUACG
rnacentral:rRNA from 2 species